UACGUAGGGGUCUAGCGUUGUCCGGAAUUAUUGGGCGUAAAGAGCUCGUAGGCGGUGUGUCACGUCGGCCGUGAAAACCUGCAGCUUAACUGUGGGCGUGCGGUCGAUACGGGCAUCACUGGAGUUCGGUAGGGGAGACUGGAAUUCCUGGUGUAGCGGUGAAAUGCGCAGAUAUCAGGAGGAACACCGGUGGCGAAGGCGGGUCUCUGGGCCGAUACUGACGCUGAGGAGCGAAAGCGUGGGGAGCGAACAGG
rnacentral:rRNA from 1 species